ACUUGGCCGCUGUGUUGACACGCUCUGCACCUUGCUCCUCCCCUCGCCUUUCACUCUUCUUAUCCCCCCGAUAACCCCAUCAUUCCUGACAGCUCCUGAGUGCCUGGAUUUCAUCCAGCCCUGCAGGAUGCUCCCCUUUGUUCUGGGGAAGGCUGUCCCAGAUGGAGAAGAGGAGAUGGAGGUGGAUAUAGAGAUUGAUAGAGAGGAGGACAUGGAGACGGAGGGAGAAGACACUGGGGAGGAGGAGAUGGAGGUGGAGGUGGAGGUGAAGGUGGAAGAGGAGAUGGAAUUGGAUAUGGAAGAGUCCAUUGAGGACAUGGACAUUGAUUAAGAAAGUGCGAUGGACAUCACAGAGACACCACCCUUUUGUAUAUAUGUUCUACAGUUUGUUGUUUUUCUUUAGAAUAUCGAUUGUAGGGCUAUUUUUGACUUCUGUAAAUAAGUUUCCCAUAGUUUUCCUAGGUAGGUUUUUCUGUAUAUAUGUUCUAUUGAUUGUUGUUGUUGCAAAUAUUCUUGCAAUGUAAAUAAGUUCUGUAUUUUUGCUGCUGUUCAUCUAUAAUAAACAAAUUUUAUUUUUCACA